ACAGAGUCCGGAGUGAAUGGCCAAUGGAGGAUCCUUUUGCUGAUAUUUCACAGAGAUUUCAUGCUGCCCUGCCCUGGCCCUGCCCCAGCCCCGCCCUGCCAUUGGAUUUCCCAGCGCGCAGCCAGCCACCGCGAGAGGAUUUCCAACACUAACCCCCCUCCCCCUUAGACCUAAGAAAUGCUUCAUAGAAAACCCAAUAGAUAUUUGAUAUUUGUAGUCUGCUUUUGGCUUUAGUACAUUU